CAGCGCCACGAGUGGUAACCGCGUUUAUUGGGCCUAAAGCGUCCGUAGCAGGUUUUGUAAAUCUCUUGUGAAAUUGCCAGGCUCAACUUGGCAACGUGCAGGAGACACUGCAAGACUGGGGACCGGGAAGGGUUAGAGGUAUUCCUGAGGGAGCGGUAAAAUGCUAUAAUCUCAGGAGGACCGCCUGUGGCGAAGGCGUCUAACUAGAACGGAUCCGACUGUGAGGGACGAAAGCUAGGGGAGCAAACCGGAUUAGAGACCCGCGUAGUCC
rnacentral:rRNA from 1 species